rnacentral:rRNA from 1 species
GAUGAACGCUGGCGGCGUGCCUAAUACAUGCAAGUCGAGCGAACGGACGAGAAGCUUGCUUCUCUGAUGUUAGCGGCGGACGGGUGAGUAACACGUGGAUAACCUACCUAUAAGACUGGGAUAACUUCGGGAAACCGGAGCUAAUACCGGAUGAUAUUUUGAACCGCAUGGUUCAAAAGUGAAAGACGUUCUUGCUGUCACUUAUAGAUGGAUCCGCGCUGCAUUAGCUAGUUGGUAAGGUAAUGGCUUACCAAGGCAACGAUGCAUAGCCGACCUGAGAGGGUGAUCGGCCACACUGGAACUGAGACACGGUCCAGACUCCUACGGGAGGCAGCAGUAGGGAAUCUUCCGCAAAGGGCGAAAGCCUGACGGAGCAACGCCGCGUGAGUGAUGAAGGUCUUCGGAUCGUAAAACUCUGUUAUUAGGGAAGAACAUAUGUGUAAGUAACUGUGCACAUCUUGACGGUACCUAAUCAGAAAGCCACGGCUAACUACGUG